AUGUCAUUAUCAGGCCACAACGACGUCCUCCCUUGUCGGGAAACUGCCGCUCGUUCUUCACCGUCCGUUGCUGCAUUCUCACUUUCUCAUCAAGAGGGGAGUACGCGGAGUCUUCUUCUCCCCCAGCCGCCGGCCGAUCCACCCAAGCACCACUCACAGUCACAGCUGCUACGCCUCCCUGCUCCCGCGAUGAGCUGGUGGUGGGCGGGCGCGGUCAGCGCCGCCAGGAGACGCCAGGACGACAGCGCCGCCGCGGCCGAGCCCGCCUUCCAGAGCGUCGCCCUCGUCGUCGGAUCCACGGGCAUCGUCGGCACCUCGCUCCUUGACAUCCUCCCGCGCAACGACACCCCCGGUGGGCCCUGGAAGGUGUACGCGGUCUCCCGCCGCGCGCCCCUUCCUUGGACCCCGCCACCCACCCCCGCCGUCACGCACCUGUGA
rnacentral:rRNA from 1 species